rnacentral:pre_miRNA from 1 species
GUUGAGAGGAAUGUUGUCUGGCUCGAGGUCAUGGAGGAGGAGGAGAGUACUGAGAUGAGUGAAAGUUUCCAAUGGAAAUUUACCCUCUUAACACAAAAAAAAAACAAAAUUGAUUCUCGGACCAGGCUUCAUUCCCCACACC